AGCAGCCGCGGUAAUUCCAGCUCCAAUAGCGUAUAUUAAAGUUGUUGCAGUUAAAAAGCUCGUAGUUGAAUUUCGGGAUCAAUACGUCGGUCGUGCUUUCGGGUACGUACUGGCGUCAUUGGUUUCUCCUUUCUGACGAACCAUGAUGUCAUUAAUUUGGUGUUAUGGGGAGUUAGGACUGUUACUUUGAAAAAAUUAGAGUGUUUAAAGCAGGCAUUAGCUUGAAUACAUUAGCAUGGAAUAAUGAAAUAGGACGUUCGAUCCUAUUUUGUUGGUUUCUAGGAUCAACGUAAUGAUUAAUAGGGAUAGUUGGGGGCAUUAGUACUCAAUUGUCAGAGGUGAAAUUCUUGGAUUUAUUGAAGACUAACUACUGCGAAAGCAUUUGCCAAGGAUGUUUUCAUUAAUCAAGAACGAAAGUUAGGGGAUCGAAGACGAUCAGAUACCGUCGUAGUCUUAACCAUAAACUAUGCCGACUAGGGAUCGGAUGAUGUUAAUUUUUUAAUGACUCAUUCGGCGCCUUACG
rnacentral:rRNA from 1 species